GAUGAACGCUGGCGGCGUGCCUAAUACAUGCAAGUCGAGCGAACAGAUGAGGAGCUUGCUUCUCUGACGUUAGCGGCGGACGGGUGAGUAACACGUGGAUAACCUACCUAUAAGACUGGGAUAACUUCGGGAAACCUGAGCUAAUACCGGAUAAUAUAUUGAACCGCAUGGUUCAAUAGUGAAAGACGGUUUUGCUGUCACUUAUAGAUGGAUCCGCGCCGCAUUAGCUAGUUGGUAAGGUAACGGCUUACCAAGGCAACGAUGCGUAUCCGACCUGAGAGGUUGAUCGGCCACACUGGAACUGAGACACGGUCCAGACUCCUACGGGAGGCAGCAGUAGGGAAUCUUCCGCAAUGGGCGAAAGCCUGACGGAGCAACGCCGCGUGAGUGAUGAAGGUCUUCGGAUCGUAAAACUCUGUUAGUAGGGAAGAACGAAUGUGUAAGUAACUAUGCACGUCUUGACGGUACCUAAUCAGAAAGCCACGGCUAACUACGUG
rnacentral:rRNA from 1 species